UGGGGAAUAUUGGACAAUGGACCGAGAGUCUGAUCCAGCAAUUCUGUGUGCACGAUGACGUUUUUCGGAAUGUAAAGUGCUUUCAGUUGGGAAGAAAAAAAUGACGGUACCAACAGAAGAAGUGACGGCUAAAUACGUGCCAGCAGCCGCGGUAAUACGUAUGUCACAAGCGUUAUCCGGAUUUAUUGGGCGUAAAGCGCGUCUAGGUGGUUAUGUAAGUCUGAUGUGAAAAUGCAGGGCUCAACUCUGUAUUGCGUUGGAAACUGUAUAACUAGAGUACUGGAGAGGUAAGCGGAACUACAAGUGUAGAGGUGAACUUCGUAGAUAUUUGUAGGAAUGUCGAUGGGGAAGCCAGCUUACUGGACAGAUACUGACGCUAAAGCGCGAAAGCGUGGGUAGCAAACAGG
rnacentral:rRNA from 1 species